rnacentral:rRNA from 1 species
UACCAGCACCCCGAGUGGUCGGGACGUUUAUUGGGCCUAAAGCAUCCGUAGCCGGUUCUACAAGUCUUCCGUUAAAUCCACCUGCUUAACAGAUGGGCUGCGGAAGAUACUAUAGAGCUAGGAGGCGGGAGAGGCAAGCGGUACUCGAUGGGUAGGGGUAAAAUCCGUUGAUCCAUUGAAGACCACCGGUGGCGAAGGCGGCCCACUGGUCCGGUACUGACGCUGAGGUGCGAAAGCGUGGGGAGCAAACAGG